GGUUGUUGAGGUCGCAGUAGCAGCCUUCUGUUGUUCCUGGUUGAGAAGAGCAGACGAGGAAACGUGACUGGAGUCAGGAACGGGCACACACGUCAACGAUUUGAAGAACAGCCUCAAUUCGUCGGGACAUGGACUCUACAAGGUGUUGAAAGCGUUUCACAGGGAUGCUGGCCCAUGUUGACUUCAACGCUUCCCACUGGUGUGUCAAAUUGGCUGGAUGUCCUUUGGGUAUUGGACCAUUCUUGAUACACACGGGAAACAAUAAACAUGAAAAACCCAGCAGCGUUGCAAUUCUUGACACACUCAAACUGGUGCGCCUGGCAUCUACUACCAUACCCCGUUCAAAGUCACUUAAAUAUUGUGUGUUUGUCAUGGACGUCAGUCAGUAGAUCAAGUCUGCAUGGCUAUGAGGAGAAUUGACAAGCGUUGUGGUUUAUCAUUGUGGUUAUUUCCCACCCUGCAAUGCCAUGUCAUAUUAGUACAGGGGGCAAUGGACCAUGUCCACAAUGACUCACUGUGUUCUAGCGCUGGGGAUCUAAAUCUACUAUGACGAUUGACCAUUGCUUCAAUAAGCAAGUAAAAGUAUGAAAUCAUCAA